UUGUGAUGUUUGCUUUUCAAAGUUGAUUGUUGGCCAAAAGCCUGUUGUUUAAGAUACUUUAUACUGUCAGCAUCCAUUUAAUGCUUCUGGUGUGUAGAUUUGUGAACCUGCUUAAAGCAACAUACACUUAGUAAUGUUGUUUUUGAUAUAUUUUUGUCCACAAACCAUUUGCUAGUUUUUUGAGACUAUCAAAUUGAAUACAUUGUCAAACAUUUUGUAGGAAACAAUGUUUAUUAUUAGCAAGCUGGUAACUUGUCCAGUUCUUUCAUGUAGAAUUCACUGAGUCUGUAUCUGAACUAACUAACAAAUCUUGGCAUUGCACCCUCGUUCUUCCUCUAACAUAGUACAUUCUACAUGAAAGUACGGUGUCUUACACAUGGUGAAAUGUAUUAAGUUUUGAAUAAUACUGGCUUUGUUUGGAUGAUCAGUUUCAAUGAGGGAUUUUUGUUUUGUUUUGGAUAGAUAGGAAGACGUGUCAACUUUUAAGUUCUUCAUGUAAGGAUUACAUGAUCUGAUUGUUCUUGAAAGUUCAUCGAGUUUCAACCGUUGAAUGCUUGUUUGAUAUUUUUGAUUGUGCACUGUGGCACUAAAUUGCUAAUGGCUUGUGCAAAAGAGUGGAAGAUUGAUUUUCGUUGAAAUUUGUUCGCAAUGACGGAAUAAGAAGUCCAAAUUGCAUGCUGUGUUUCAACAGUGCCUGGUAGACAUUUUUCUCUCGAUGCUAAAUUCCUUAUACCUUAUGUCUUCUUGUCGCAGACAGCUGUCCAAUAUGGCAUAGCUGCGUGUGCUGACUCCAGCCUCCUGUCCAGACCAGGUGAUGCAGUCAGAAGGGUUUUUUCUCGAGAAGACGUCUUGUGUAAAACUACAAGCUAGGCGGUGGCUAUAGUACUUUAAGGAAGUGGCAAGAACUGGACUCGUAGGGCACGCUGGGACUCGCAACAAGUAUGGAAGUCAGGCUCAUCACCGACUAUGAUGGACAAAGAACUGUACCGUAGACCCCUUUUAGAGAUUGCCUCUAAAUUUUUUGGGCAAUGUACUGUAUAUUGAGGUGCCACAUAAUGUUGAUUGUCAGAAUUUUGUAUUUUUGUGAAAUUUUGUUGCGAUGUAGGAUGAUUGAUUUUAACCGUUUCCCAUCUCGUUAAUAUGAUCGCAUAAUUCAUCGCUACCGAAGUAACGUGUAAAUAACGAGUGUUUGACGAACAUACCGCCUGCAUGCAAAGUUGAGGUAGAAUCGUUUCAUGUACAAUGUAAUUCGUGUAUUGUUCCAAGACAUGUCAUUGUAUAACCGUACACGAGAUGGUAAGAAGUAAUUGUCCGUAGCCAUUCUCAACUGUAAUCGUGUAGACUGAAACUGUAACUUUCUGUAAUUGUAACUUUCUGUAACCGUAGGGUACUCUAGAUUGUUUAAUUUGUAUCAUGUAUUGUAUUGUUACAGUAUUGUAUUGUAUUGUAUUUUGAUGCACAGAAAAAAUGACCAAAAAAAAUAAGAAGAUUAUAAAUGGACUAUGCUGGUACAACAUGUUUGUAGGAAUGGUUGGAAAACAACUUGAAAUUUGUAUACAAUCCUCAGAUGUUAAAACUCCAAAACAUUUUCUACUGUUCACAAUUUCCUUUGAACAUAGUUUAGUACCAGCAUAGUUCAUGUUGUUGUUGGCGUCUUACUCUUUCCCUUUGCUGUAUCUUUCUAUUCUUCCAGGUUGACUUAAUAUCUUUUUCUGUGUUCUUUGCUUUGUUGCUUUUCCCUUCUUUACUUCUCUCUUCUUUGCUUACCUGUUCUUUCUAUUUGCUUAAUCUUUCAAUUGCUUUCCCUUCUUUGCUUUCCUGUUGUCUGCUUGUGCUUUCCAUUUUAUUUCAUUUGCUUUCCUGUUCUUUGGUUUAUUUCCUUUCCUCUAAUUUACUUGAUCUUUGCUUUCCUCUUCUUUGCUUUUGCUUUAAAGUUCCUUGCUUUUGAUUCUUUCCUGUCCAGUUAUCAUUGCUUGCACAUUCUCUACUUUUGCUUUUUCACUGGCCUGUUGUUUCCUUUAAUUUGCUUCUCUGCCUUCAUUUUGCUAUUCUUUAGUUUUGAUUCUUUGGUUGCUUGCUUUCUUAGUUUUGUUUUGCUUUCCUGUUCUUUGCUUUCCAUUUUUUUCUGUUCUUUCCUUACGACUGUCCUUUACUUUUCUGUAAUAUGCUUUCCUUCCGUCCCCUUUUCUUAACUUGUCUGCUUCCUUCAUCUGUAGUUUUGUUUCUUCGCCUUUGCUUUUUCUCUCCACCCUUCCUUGCUGACUUUCGUGCUUUUUGUUGUUACUACUUUUUCGCUGUGCAGUUGCUUUUAAGUUCUUUGCUUCCCCAUUCCUCACUUCCUUAUUGUACGCCUUCCGCUUUUUCUCUAGCCUGUUUCCAUCCUUUCGUUCUCUCUUCCUGUCUGCAUUCUCUCUACCCUUCCUGCCUGCCUUCUCUCUACCCUUCCUUCCUUCUCUCUACCCUCCUGCCUUCCUUCUUGCCUUCUCUCUACCCUGCCUGCCAAUUCAAUACCCUGCCUCCCUUCCCCUCUCUACCCUGCCUCCCUUCCCCUCUCUACCGUCUUCCUUCAAUCUUUCCUUCCGUCUCUCUACUCUUUAUUUAUCUCUACCCUUCCUGCCUUUGUUGUCACUGUCCUUAACUCCUUUCCAGUUUCACUUAACCAACACAACAGCCUUAAAGUUUGUUUGUUGAAAUGGCACUGUUGUUAAAAGUUGCAAUUGUAUAACUUGACUGCAGCGCUACUUGGUUGGAAUAAAACAAACGCUACAGGA